AAUGGCGGAUCGAACUAACCUUUCGGUGUCCUCUUCACGGUGGAUGGUGAUGAAAGGAGAAGGAAUUCAAUGUGCGUUGAGACUCUUCCAUUUACCCCCCCCACCCUCAUCAUCCCGGAGUUUUACAAGAAAUCACAUAAUGUCGCAGUUGGUUGGGAGAGCCAUCUCAACGAUGAAAUGAGCCUGUGCUGAGGGAUCUGGCAGUCAUCACCGAUGGAGUGAAAGCUCAUCACAUCUCGAUCUUCUCCAACCCUACACCAAGCUUCUUGUGACUGAGAUCCCAAGAUGGCACAGUUCAAUGACAAU